UACGGGGGGAGCAAGCGUUGUUCGGAUUUACUGGGCGUAAAGGGCGCGUAGGCGGUCAGCACAAGUCAGUUGUGAAAUCUCCGGGCUUAACUCGGAAAGGUCAACUGAUACUGUGCGACUAGAGUGCGGAAGGGGCAACUGGAAUUCUCGGUGUAGCGGUGAAAUGCGUAGAUAUCGAGAGGAACACCUGCGGCGAAGGCGGGUUGCUGGGCCGACACUGACGCUGAUGCGCGAAAGCCAGGGGAGCGAACCGG
rnacentral:rRNA from 1 species